rnacentral:rRNA from 1 species
UCCGUAGGGAGCAAGCGUUGUUCGGAUUUACUGGGCGUAAAGGGCGCGUAGGCGGCGCGGUAAGUCACUUGUGAAAUCUCUGAGCUUAACUCAGAACGGCCAAGUGAUACUGCAGUGCUAGAGUGCAGAAAGGGCAAUCGGAAUUCUUGGUGUAGCGGUGAAAUGCGUAGAUAUCAAGAGGAACACCUGAGGCGAAGGCGGGUUGCUAGGCUGACACUGACGCUGAGGAACGAAAGCUAGGGGAGCAAACAGG